GACGCCUCGCUGUUGGAAACGCUCGAAUUGCUCCCUUUGAUAAUUUUCAUCAUUGGAUCGGAAGAUGAUAUUUCCAAAAUUCUGAUUUCCCGCCAUAGUGAUGAAUGAAUUUGAAGGAGUAAUUUGGAAAGAAAAGAAAUGUAUUUGAUAGGAGAGAAUGGUUUGUGGUGAAUGAAGGGAGGUUUUAAUGGGUAUUUAUAGGAAAAGAAUUUGGAAGUUGGAAAAAAAGGAGUGGUUGAAAAGUAAAUAGAUGUGGGUAAAUGUGAAUA
rnacentral:lncRNA from 1 species